GCAAGUCGAACGAGAAAGGGAUUGCUUGCAAUCCUGAGUAGAGUGGCGCACGGGUGAGUAACACGUAGAUAAUCUGCCUUCAAGCCUGGGAUAACUAUUCGAAAGGAUAGCUAAUACCGGAUAAAGUUUAUACACACAAGUGUAUUCAUGAAAGAUUGCCUCUUCUUGAAAGCAAUUGUUUGGAGAUGAGUCUGCGGACCAUUAGCUUGUUGGUGGGGUAAAGGCCUACCAAGGCUGCGAUGGUUAGCUGGUCUGAGAGGAUGAUC
rnacentral:rRNA from 1 species